AACGAACGCUGGCGGCAUGCCUAACACAUGCAAGUCGAACGAGACCUUCGGGUCUAGUGGCGCACGGGUGCGUAACGCGUGGGAACCUGCCCUUAGGUUCGGAAUAACUCCCCGAAAGGGGUGCUAAUACCGGAUAAUGUCUUCGGACCAAAGAUUUAUUGCCUUUGGAUGGGCCCGCGUUGGAUUAGCUAGUUGGUAGGGUAAAAGCCUACCAAGGCGACGAUCCAUAGCUGGUCUGAGAGGAUGGUCAGCCACACUGGGACUGAGACACGGCCCAGACUCCUACGGGAGGCAGCAGUGGGGAAUAUUGGACAAUGGGCGAAAGCCUGAUCCAGCAAUGCCGCGUGAGUGAUGAAGGCCUUAGGGUUGUAAAGCUCUUUUACCCGGGAUGAUAAUGACAGUACCGGGAGAAUAAGCUCCGGCUAACUCCGUG
rnacentral:rRNA from 1 species